GUCUUUUUGAUUAUAAUUUAAAGUCUAACCUGCCCAAUGAUUUUUAAAUGGCCGCAGUAUUUUGACUGUGCAAAGGUAGCAUAAUCAUUAGUUUUUUAAUUGAAAGCUGGAAUGAAAGGUUGGACGAGAAAAUUACUGUCUCAAAUUAAAUUAAUAAAAUUUUAUUUUUAAGUUAAAAAGCUUAAAUAUUUUUAAAAGACGAGAAGACCCUAUAGAGUUUAAUAUUUAUUUAAAUUUUUAUUUUAUAAUUUAAUAUAUUUUAAUAAAUAUUUUAUUGGGGUGAUAAAUAAAUUUAAAUAACUUUAUUUAAUUUUUAACAUAAAUUUAUGAAUUAUUGAUCCAUUAUUGAUGAUUAUAAGAUUAAAUUACCUUAGGGAUAACAGCGUUAUUUUUCUAGAGAGUUCAAAUCGAAAGAAAAGAUUGCGACCUCGAUGUUGGAUUAAAGUUAAUAUUUGGUGUAGAAGCUAAAUUAUUGAGUCUGUUCGACUUUUAAAACUUUACAUGAUCUGAGUUUAAACCGGUGUGAGCCAGGUUGGUUUCUAUCUUUAAAUAAUUAAAAUAUUUUAGUACGAAAGGACCAAAUAUUUAUAAAAUUUAUUAUUAUUUGAAUAU
rnacentral:rRNA from 1 species